CGACCUCGCCGGCCGGAGGUCCGGUGCGCGCCCGCCGGAUCUGGUGCUGCUUAAAUGCAGCCCUGAGGUCAGCGCCUUACUCUUUUGUGGAUUGGGCCGCCCCCGGAGUACUGCGCAUGCGUGCCUCCCGACGGCCGAUUGAACGCGGAGGCUUCCGUAGGGGGCGGGGAGAAAGAUGGCGGCGGCCGUGCUGCGAGAGCUGGGUACAUUAUGGAUACAGAGCCUGAGAGGCCGGGGGCUGCUGGCUUCGGGGCUUCUCCCAUCGCACAGCGCUUCGCCCCAGUCACACAUCCACACGAGUGCUCCUCUUGACAUUUCUCGCAAGUGGGAGAAAAAGAAUAAAAUUGUUUAUCCUCCACAACUGCCUGGCGAACCCCGCAGAC